AAUAUAUAUCAAUUGGCGGUCCGCGAAAAUUUCACGCGGUUUGGUUUUCCCGGGUAAAUUACAAUUCCGACGGAAUUAAGUUCGUCAGUAUAUUCCGACGGAAUACUGACGACUCAUUCCGACGGAAUACUGACGACUUAGUGUUUAAGGGUUGGUUACAAGUUUCUAAAAGCAAAAUCCAAAUCUUUGAUAAUAUAUAUAGUAUUUUCAUAAAGAUUUAACAGUAGAAAUGUUUUGAUAACACGAAUUUAUACAACAACAUUUUUUGUAGUGUAAGAUUAGAUGAAUGUGAUUGUAUAAGUAUAUGAGUGUUAAGAUGAGAUGUUAUGAAAACAUGUGAUAUGCAUACAUAAAUAUUUUUAUGAAUUGUUAUAUUUGAACGGUUGCUAUCUCGUCGGUAUUUUGCGAUGGAUUUCCGACGGACCAAAUGGAAAAAAAAAAAAAAAAAAAAACUAAUCCGAAUCUUCUGAAUCUUCAUCAAACUCCCCAACCUCAGCUUCUGGUUCCGAAUGUACAACAGCAUCAAGUCCAAACUCAGUCAAAUCCUCAACGAGUUCAACAUUUGCCAAAUCUUCAACUGCCUGGGCGUUGCUGGUAGACUCUGGUUGCAAUGGUUCAUCAUCAUCAGAAGUUCCAUCCACUCGUCCUCUUGGGUUGAUUUGCGUUACAGUGACCCAUGGAUCAUCUCUGUACGUCACCCGAGGGUAACUGA
rnacentral:lncRNA from 1 species